UGGGGAAUUUUGGACAAUGGGCGAAAGCCUGAUCCAGCAAUGCCGCGUGUGUGAAGAAGGCCUUCGGGUUGUAAAGCACUUUUGUCCGGAAAGAAAUCCUUGGCUCUAAUACAGUCGGGGGAUGACGGUACCGGAAGAAUAAGCACCGGCUAACUACGUGCCAGCAGCCGCGGUAAUACGUAGGGUGCAAGCGUUAAUCGGAAUUACUGGGCGUAAAGCGUGCGCAGGCGGUUUGCUAAGACCGAUGUGAAAUCCCCGGGCUAACCUGGGAACUGCAUUGGUGACUGGCAGGCUAGAGUAUGGCAGAGGGGGGUAGAAUUCCACGUGUAGCAGUGAAAUGCGUAGAGAUGUGGAGGAAUACCGAUGGCGAAGGCAGCCCCCUGGGCCAAUACUGACGCUCAUGCACGAAAGCGUGGGGAGCAAACAGGAUUAGAUACCCUGGUAGUCCACGCCCUAAACGAUGUCAACUAGUUGUUGGGGAUUCAUUUCCUUAGUAACGUAGCUAACGCGUGAAGUUGACCGCCUGGGGAGUACGUCGCAAGAUUAAAACUCAAAGGAAUUGACGGGGUCAUAGCUGUUUCCU
rnacentral:rRNA from 1 species